rnacentral:rRNA from 1 species
UACGUAGGGGGCAAGCGUUGUCCGGAUUUAUUGGGCGUAAAGAGCGUGUAGGCGGCCACACAGGUCUGCUGUGAAAACUCGAGGCUCAACCUCGAGCUGUCGGUGGAAACCGUGUGGCUAGAGUCCGGAAGAGGAGAGUGGAAUUCCCGGUGUAGCGGUGAAAUGCGCAGAUAUCAGGAGGAACACCGGUGGCGAAGGCGGGUCUCUGGGCCGAUAUCGACGCUGAGGAGCGAAAGCGUGGGUAGCGAACAGG